GUACUGAUGAAGAAGAGUCCCAAACUAGGACGAAACAGCUGUCCAGUAC
rnacentral:hammerhead_ribozyme from 1 species